ensembl:lncRNA
GGAAAUUGUAUUAAUGACACCAGCACACAGGAGACCAGUGAUCGUUACAUGAGAAAGAGUACUUUAUUUGCACAAAGAGCAAUACAUGUCAACACAAAUAAAUAAGCGCUGUUUAAAGAGAAACAGUUUUCAGGAUACAAAUUUUAGCAUCUUAACCCUUUAAACCCUGACAUAAAAAUAAAAUAAUAAUCUGAAUAUGUAUCAUUAUGGCCUGCAGGCCUGGUUUCAGGGACAGGGCUUAGACUAAACCAGGAGUAGGUCAUAGUUCAAUUAGGACAUUUAAGUCAUUUUUAUAAAAAGACACAAAUGUAUUUUAUAAUCGGGGGAUAGAGUAUAAGUGACUGAGGUGCUCAUACUUGAGAAGGGGGAAAAAAACACACAUCAGUCUUACUCAGAGGCCCAUACAGAACAAAAAUAUGCAGUUUGGUGUAGAUGAAAUGUUGUAAAUCAGUAACAUUUCUAAGAGUAUAGCAGGUUGCAUCAAUAAUGGGUUAGUAAGAUUUAAAUUCAAAUAGAUGUAGAAGAUUGUGUAGAACAGGUUCUUCAGCCCAUUUUUGAUCAGGGCUUAGAAAUGAGAUACAGUAUGCUUUAUGGGUUAAGUUUGCUUAUUUCAAUGCAAUUUGAAGUUAAAAAAAAAGUUAAGUUAAAAAUGUUAGUAACGAAAUUGCUUGGGAAUUAAUUUUAAACCAGGCAUUUUGAGCUUAGGGGACUUGGUACAAAACAACUACAACUCCGUAAGCAGUGCUGUCUAAUACAGAAAGUGCUCCAAUACGCCAUUUACUACUGAUCCUCCCCGAGCUGCGACAACAUGGCGGCUCUGCUCUGAAACACGAGCACCGAGGAAGAAGAAGAAGAGCUUAGUCCAGACGUCACCUUCUAACCUCCGCUUCAGCGAACACAAGAAACAGAUCACUCGAGGCAUCAGGCAUCGCACAACGACGAUGUUUGAACCCUCGGCCGGGAUGUUUUCUGCACACGAGACGUUUCCUGAUCGCCCCCAAAACAGGAAAUGCGCUUCUUUUGUUGCAGCUCAUAUGCGGCUGUUAUUGUGACGUAAUGCGCGACUUCUCAAGAACGUCUCUGAAUAGAACCGUGCCCUUUAAAAAUUCCCCAAAACACACAUGAAAGUACAUAAAUGAAAUGAACUCCCGGCCAACAUUGAUUUUCGAUGAGUCAGUUGAACGAUUAAAGUUCGCCGACCGGUAUGAUUGCUGCACUGGUUUCAAAAUAACGUACUUAACUGCGUGACAGUUUUAUUCACGCGCAUAUGUAACGGAUAAUGUGUGCGUCAAACUAUUUAAAUCACAGUAUUUGACAUUACGACACACAAGGCUGCUCAAAACAUUACUCUUAAUAAGCAAAUCCUGCAAUAAACAGCACUACAUAUGCCUUUGUGAUGUCUUAACUCGUAAUUUGUCACGUCAUGCUGCUAGGGCCCACGUAAUUACGUCAUGACGCAGAAGAAAAAGAAUCACUGAAUCGUUUAUAACCGGUUCUUUUGAACGAACGUCCAAAACACUGCUUUUAUAUUCCGGUGCUGGAGGCGACAAAAGCACAUCAGGCUUUUUCGUCGCCAGCGUGCAUGUUUAAAACACACGGCUGAUGAUGUAACGUUACUCUCACGGCGCUGAAUCCGGUUUUCGGCGAUGAUAUUUUCUGGAAAGCCCGUGACCCCGCCCUGUGCGCGCUUUGUGUAGUGCCGCGAGGAGCGCUGACGCCAUCUUCUUGCGAUUUUUGUGACGCGACACGAGCUAAUUUUGUAUGGAGAGCAACUCCGUGAAAGGGCUCUUCUAAAGCGCCGUGUUUCAGAGAUCCGCUGAGAUUAAAGUUAAUGAGAGUUGGCGUGAACGGCGCCCUACUGUCGUCCACAAACAAACACGGUCGGCUCUCCGGUUGCGCCGCUCGCCCCUCGCAGCUCAGAGCCCGCCCACAAAUGGAAUUCAGAUGAUGUCAUCUGUAGCCAAUCAGCGCCGAGAAAACAGGACGAUACGCGUUUUAUUGGUCAAGGGCAAUGUCAUUCAUUCUUUUCAGGAAGGAGGGGGAUGAGCGGAGAACAUCGCCAUUUUGAAAGCGUAACAAAAUGAACUAUACUGACACUGAAAUAAUACCCUAGCUCCAGAACUGGUUGAAACGUAGCCCGUCUUUACGUCCAUCUAUAAUCACAAACGUCCCGAGAGUUAAACCCUGAAGAUGAUUUGACUGGCGUAGAAGGCAAUCCUGUGCGAUACAACAGCUCAGUUCAACUAUCUCUUUAGUUUCGGGUUCCUGUCAACUGUACAAAUUCGAUGAUCGGCGCGUCACAUCGCAGCUUUUUGCUUUGUCUUGCUGUGUUUAAUCUCCACUCUGCGCUGCAUAGCUCUUCAGCUGCUAGUGGAUGGUUU